UACAGAGGGGGCAAGCGUUGUUCGGAAUUACUGGGCGUAAAGGGCGCGUAGGCGGCCUGCUAAGUCGAACGUGAAAUCCCCGGGCUCAACCCGGGAACUGCGUCCGAUACUGGUAGGCUUGAAUUCGGGAGAGGGAUGCGGAAUUCCAGGUGUAGCGGUGAAAUGCGUAGAUAUCUGGAGGAACACCGAUGGCGAAGGCAGGUCCCUGGGCAUUAACUGACGCUGAGGAGCGAAAGCAUGGGGAGCGAACAGG
rnacentral:rRNA from 1 species